ensembl:lincRNA
CCCAAGAUGAUUACUCUUCACUCAGAACAAAGAAGAGUGCCAAAAAGGAGGUGCUGCGGGUCAGACAGCAGUGGAACAGCAAAGUCCUGGCCCUUGUGCUGGCAUCGGCAGCCAGCCCGCCCUGACGCCCAGCUCCAGCCUGGACACUCGAUGGUGGGCGGAGCCUUGGUGGCCUCUCUGCUUGGCAGGAAUAAUCCUCUCCCACAGGAUGAGAACUGGAAAUGACCGAGUGGGCCCUCGCACUGCGCCUGCAGCAGCCACUCAGGACGUGGGAGCUGACCUCGCAGGGGGUCGUGUCUGGUGGGUAAAUGUCCCCCAGCGACAUGACAGCCACUGGGCCCACGACUGCUGGCUUCCAGGAGGUCCCACCCUGCUCUGGUUCCACACGGGAGCUGAAAUCUGCAAGCUGGGCAUCCUUGGUCACGUCAGGGACCCGCGUGGAAGUCCGGGGACAGAGGAAAGCCACCAGCUCAGAGACUCUCUGCAGGGGGCCCGAUUGCAGUCUCCCCCUACAUCCGCCCUUCUCAGCUGGAAGCCGUCAGAUGGAAACUGCUCCACUAACGGGACUUAGGGGUGUCUGUUCAGAGAGUGAGGAAGACGAGGUUAGGUAGAAAUACCACAGGCAGUCAGACGGGGCUGGGCCCGUGAGGUCGGCGCAGAGGGCGAGGAUGCGGGGAGCUCGUGGCUGGAGGCAAAGCGGAAGAACAGUGACGUCACAAUGGCCGGGUCCGCCUACUUCCCUAGGGGUGAAGGGAGCUUGGAAUUAUUGGCUGCACCCUGUUGGGCUUUCGGUGUAGCUAGACCAUUGUCUCACUGGGGGCGGCCUUCUUCCUCCACCCAGUAAGACUAAGAAGACUGAGACUACAGAUUAUCAACCAAGUCUGAUGACGUCAUCUGUACACCUUUGUUGCUAUUGGGUCACUGUUACCUAAGCGACUACUCUUGUAAUCUUAUUGGUUGAUUGUAGUUUCCUAAAACUUCCUUUGAGAAUUGGGCUCCUGGCUAACUCAUUCAGGACCCCACCUGCCUCUCCGGGGCUAUUCCUGUUCCCCAAUCCUGUUUCCCAAUAAAUUUUCCUCUUAAAAAAAUUUUUUUGUGUGUGUGAAGAGAGUGAAAAGCGAGUGCACAGGUUGGGAGAAACUAUUUGCUGCUCAUACAUCCAACAAAAGACUUGUUUCCGGAAUAGAUGAGGAUGUAUCAGAUUUUUUUAAAUGAGCAAAAGAUUUGAAGAUUCACCAAAGAAGACAUAAAUGAGAAAUAAGUGGAUGAGAUGUCAGUUUCGUUACCUCAUCAUUAGGGAAAUUCAGAUAAAAAACUAAGUCUAGGGCCAAGGAUGUAGCUCAGUGGUCCCACACCUGCCUGGCAAGCGCAAGGUCCUGAGUUUGAUCCCAGGUUCCAAAAAAAAAUUAUAUGGUACAGCCUUUCUGUGGAAUAAAACAAGAAAGUGUUUUUUUGUUGUUGUCGUUUGGUUUUUUUUGAGACAGAGUCUUGCUAUGUAGUUCAAGCUGCCUUCAAACUCGUGACAAUCCUCCUGCCUCAGCCUCCGAGUGCUGGGAAUACAGGCGUGUAACACCACACCCGGCCUAGGAAAUUUAGUGUAAGAAAUGAAGAGAAGGAACUGGACUUGUCUCAGCUCGCAGAUGGCAUGGUUGAGACAUAGGCCACAACUGGGAUGUGAAUGUUCUGCCAGUUUCAUGCUGGAGGCCUGGUCCCAGUGUGGCUGCUGUGUGAGGAGGGUGGGCGUGGGGCAUCCUUAGAUCACGGG